rnacentral:rRNA from 1 species
GAAGGUGGCCUGUGAGGGUUGCUGGAGGUAUCAGAAGUGCGAAUGCUGACAUAAGUAACGAUAAAGCGGGUGAAAAGCCCGCUCGCCGGAAGACCAAGGGUUCCUGUCCAACGUUAAUCGGGGCAGGGUGAGUCGACCCCUAAGGCGAGGCCGAAAGGCGUAGUCGAUGGGAAACGGGUUAAUAUUCCCGUACUUGGUGUUACUGCGAAGGGGGGACGGAGAAGGCUAUGUUGGCCGGGCGACGGUUGUCCCGGUUUAAGCGUGUAGGCUGGUUUUCCAGGCAAAUCCGGAAAAUCAAGGCUGAGGCGUGAUGACGAGGCACUACGGUGCUGAAGCAACAAAUGCCCUGCUUCCAGGAAAAGCCUCUAAGCAUCAGGUAACAUCAAAUCGUACCCCAAACCGACACAGGUGGUCAGGUAGAGAAUACCAAGGCGCUUGAGAGAACUCGGGUGAAGGAACUAGGCAAAAUGGUGCCGUAACUUCGGGAGAAGGCACGCUGACACGUAGGUGAAGUGAUUUACUCACGGAGCUGAAGUCAGUCGAAGAUACCAGCUGGCUGCAACUGUUUAUUAAAAACACAGCACUGUGCAAACACGAAAGUGGACGUAUACGGUGUGACGCCUGCCCGGUGCCGGAAGGUUAAUUGAUGGGGUCAGCGCAAGCGAAGCUCCUGAUCGAAGCCCCGGUAAACGGCGGCCGUAACUAUAACGGUCCUAAGGUAGCGAAAUUCCUUGUCGGGUAAGUUCCGACCUGCACGAAUGGCGUAAUGAUGGCCAGGCUGUCUCCACCCGAGACUCAGUGAAAUUGAACUCGCUGUGAAGAUGCAGUGUACCCGCGGCAAGACGGAAAGACCCCGUGAACCUUUACUAUAGCUUGACACUGAACAUUGAGCCUUGAUGUGUAGGAUAGGUGGGAGGCUUUGAAGUGUGGACGCCAGUCUGCAUGGAGCCGACCUUGAAAUACCACCCUUUAAUGUUUGAUGUUCUAACGUGGACCCGUUACCCGGGUUGCGGACAGUGUCUGGUGGGUAGUUUGACUGGGGCGGUCUCCUCCUAAAGAGUAACGGAGGAGCACGAAGGUUGGCUAAUCCUGGUCGGACAUCAGGAGGUUAGUGCAAUGGCAUAAGCCAGCUUGACUGCGAGCGUGACGGCGCGAGCAGGUGCGAAAGCAGGUCAUAGUGAUCCGGUGGUUCUGAAUGGAAGGGCCAUCGCUCAACGGAUAAAAGGUACUCCGGGGAUAACAGGCUGAUACCGCCCAAGAGUUCAUAUCGACGGCGGUGUUUGGCACCUCGAUGUCGGCUCAUCACAUCCUGGGGCUGAAGUAGGUCCCAAGGGUAUGGCUGUUCGCCAUUUAAAGUGGUACGCGAGCUGGGUUUAGAACGUCGUGAGACAGUUCGGUCCCUAUCUGCCGUGGGCGCUGGAGAACUGAGGGGGGCUGCUCCUAGUACGAGAGGACCGGAGUGGACGCAUCACUGGUGUUCGGGUUGUCAUGCCAAUGGCACUGCCCGGUAGCUAAAUGCGGAAGAGAUAAGUGCUGAAAGCAUCUAAGCACGAAACUUGCCCCGAGAUGAGUUCUCCCUGAGACUUAAAGUCUCCUGAAGGAACGUUGAAGACGACGACGUUGAUAGGCCGGGUGUGUAAGCGCAGCGAUGCGUUGAGCUAACCGGUACUAAUGAACCGUGAGGCUUAACCUUACAACGCCGAAG